GCGGCUAGAGAGAGAGAGAGAGGCGGCUAGAGAGAGAGAGAGGCGGCUAGAGAGAGAGAGAGAGGCGGCUAGAGAGAGAGAGAGAGGCGGCUAGAGAGAGAGAGAGGCGGCUAGAGAGAGAGAGAGGCGGCUAGAGAGAGGCGGCUAGAGAGGGCGGAGAGAGAGAGGCGGCUAGAGAGAGAGAGAGAGGCGGCUAGAGAGAGAGAGAGGCGGCUAGAGAGAGAGAGAGAGGCGGCUAGAGAGAGAGAGAGAGAGGCGGCUAGAGAGAGAGAGAGAGAGAGGCGGCUAGAGAGAGAGAGAGAGGCGGCUAGAGAGAGAGAGAGAGGCGGCUAGAGAGAGAGAGAGAGGCGGCUAGAGAGAGAGAGGCGGCUAGAGAGAGAGAGAGGCGGCUAGAGAGAGCGAGGGGCGGCUAGAGAGAGAGAGCGAGGCGGCUAGAGGGAGAGAG
ensembl:lncRNA